rnacentral:rRNA from 1 species
CCUACGGGAGGCAGCAGUGAGGAAUAUUGGUCAAUGGCCGAGAGGCUGAACCAGCCAAGUCGUGUGAGGGAUGACGGCCCUACGGGUUGUAAACCUCUUUUGUCGGGGAGCAAAGCGAGGCACGUGUGACUCAUUGAGAGUACCCGAAGAAUAAGCAUCGGCUAACUCCGUGCCCGCAGCCGCGGUAAUACGGAGGAUGGGAGCGUUAUCCGGAAUUAUUGGGUUUAAAGGGUGCGCAGGCGGAGGUGAAAGUCAGCGAUCAAAUUGCGGGGCUCAACCCCGUACUGCGGUUGAAACUGCAUCCCUAGAGUGCGCGAGAAGUAUGCGGAAUGCGUGGUGUAGCGGUGAAAUGCAUAGAUA